rnacentral:rRNA from 1 species
AUUGAACGCUGGCGGCAGGCCUAACACAUGCAAGUCGAGCGAGCGGCGGACGGGUGAGUAAUGUAUGGGGACUGCCCGAUAGCGGGGGCUAACUACUGGAAACGGUAGCUAAUACCGCAUACUAUCCGAUACCCCAUAUGGGAUUAGCUAGUAGGUGUGGUAAUGGCUCACCUAGGCAACGAUCCCUAGCUGGUCUGAGAGGUUGAUCAGCCACACUGGGACUGAGACACGGCCCAGACUCCUACGGAGGCAGCAGUGGGGAAUAUUGCACAAUGGGCGAAAGCCUGAUUCAGCAAGGCCGCGUGUAUGAAGAAGGCCUUAGGGUUGUAAAGUACUUUCAGUCGGGAGGCGUUACCGACAGAAGAAGCACCGGCUAACUCCGUGCCAGCAGCCGCGGUAAUUC